CAGGCCUAACACAUGCAAGUCGAGCGGGGUGAUGUAGCUUGCUACAUUACCUAGCGGCGGACGGGUGAGUAAUGCUUAGGAAUCUGCCUAUUAGUGGGGGACAACAUUCCGAAAGGAAUGCUAAUACCGCAUACGCCCUACGGGGGAAAGCAGGGGAUCUUCGGACCUUGCGCUAAUAGAUGAGCCUAAGUCAGAUUAGCUAGUUGGUGGGGUAAAGGCCUACCAAGGCGACGAUCUGUAGCGGGUCUGAGAGGAUGAUCCGCCACACUGGGACUGAGACACGGCCCAGACUCCUACGGGAGGCAGCAGUGGGGAAUAUUGGACAAUGGGCGAAAGCCUGAUCCAGCCAUGCCGCGUGUGUGAAGAAGGCCUUUUGGUUGUAAAGCACUUUAAGCGAGGAGGAGGCUACUUAGAUUAAUACUCUAGGAUAGUGGACGUUACUCGCAGAAUAAGCACCGGCUAACUCUGUGUCAGCAGCCGCGGUAAU
rnacentral:rRNA from 1 species